UACGAAGGGAGCGAGCGUUGUUCGGAAUCACUGGGCGUAAAGCGUGCGUAGGCGGUUUUAUAAGUCAGAAGUGAAAGCCUGGGGCUCAACCUCAGAAUUGCUUUUGAGACUGUAAGGCUAGAAUCCUGGAGAGGUUAGUGGAAUUCCGAGUGUAGAGGUGAAAUUCGCAGAUAUUCGGAGGAACACCAGUGGCGAAGGCGACUAACUGGACAGGCAUUGACGCUGAGGCACGAAAGCGUGGGGAUCAAACAGG
rnacentral:rRNA from 1 species